rnacentral:rRNA from 1 species
AUUGAACGCUGGCGGCAGGCCUAACACAUGCAAGUCGAACGAGUGGCGGACGGGUGAGUAAUGUCUGGGAAACUGCCUGAUGGAGGGGGAUAACUACGGGAAACGGUAGCUAAUACCGCAUACCAUCAGAUGGGCCCAGAGGGGAUUAGCUAGUUGGUGGGGUAACGGCUCACCAAGGGUAAGAUCCCUAGCUGGUCUUAGAGGAUGACCAGCCACACUGGAAUUGAGACCCGGUCCCGACUCCUACGGGAGGCAGCAGUGGGGAAUAUUGCACAAUGGGCGCAAGCCUGAUUCAGCCAUGCCGCGGGUAUGAAGAAGGCCUUCGGGUUGUAAAGUACUUUCCGCUGGGAGGCGUUACCCGCAGAAGAAGCACCGGCUAACUCCGUGCCAGCCGCCGCGGUAAUAC